UAGUUUUAUACCACCACUUACACUUUCUAUGUUCUUCUUGAAUCUGUUUCUCUCUCGCAAUAUCUUUUGCUUCUUUCUUGAUUCAUUCAACCUCUCUUUCUCCAGAACCCAUUCUCCAUUUGUAUUUCGUUGUGCUGUAAGAACUAACGAUGCGAAAGAGUAUGAUUUCAUUAUGUUAGGUUUCCUCUGAUUGUACUGAAAAUCAUAAUUUUUCUUUUUGAUACCGUUAUUCGAUUCAACAAAACCCUAUUCUCUAUUUGUAAACCCUAACAUGAUUCCGUUGUUUUUUUAUUUAUUUUUUAGGUACGUUUUUUACUGGAAAAGGCUCUUGGACUAAAAACAAAAUUAAUCAUGGGUUAUGACGACUUCAAGAGUGAAGCAACACGAAGUGCAACAGACAUUAUACCUGAAGGUGUCACCAGUAGUUGGUUUGAACCCCAAUUCAAUUCCAGAUUGGUCCCAUCCACCUCUUACUGAGACAGUCAUCCCAGAAACAAUGGUGCGGUUCUCGAUAUGUACAUUUAUGCACGAGUCUAUGUCAAUUAUAAAAAAUAGACGAUCAAAUCAGCAGUUGAUUUUUAAUGUAGUACUCCAGAAGAGAGAUGUCACCUUUAAAAGCUAAUAGAGGAUAUGUAAUAUGUAUACACGAGUUACAUUGCAUGUGCCUCUCUUUUAAAUUGUUGUGAUAUAUGGCGAUCACCAGAAGAGAGAUGCCACCUCUUCCGAUACUGGCAUGUGCCUCUAUUUUGUAUCACAAAAAAAAUAUGGCGCACUAUUGUGGUUUUUUUAUUUUUAAUAUUUGAUUCUGAUUGUUUGC